rnacentral:tRNA from 1 species
GGGGAAUUAGCUCAAAUGGUAGAGCUUGCUUAGCAUGCGAGAGGUAGCGGGAUCGAUGCCCGCAUUCUCCA